CAGCAGCCGCCGCGGGAAUACAGAGGGUGCAAGCGUUAAUCGGAAUUACUGGGCGUAAAGCGCGCGUAGGUGGUUUGUUAAGUUGGAUGUGAAAUCCCCGGGCUCAACCUGGGAACUGCAUCCAAAACUGGCAAGCUAGAGUAUGGUAGAGGGUGGUGGAAUUUCCUGUGUAGCGGUGAAAUGCGUAGAUAUAGGAAGGAACACCAGUGGCGAAGGCGACCACCUGGACUGAUACUGACACUGAGGUGCGAAAGCGUGGGGAGCAAACAGGAUUAGAUACCCCGGUAGUCCCUGUCUCUUAUAC
rnacentral:rRNA from 1 species